UCCGCCUCGAGUGCCCAGGGGAGAAACAGCUGACUAGCCGGAACGCUUCACCCGGGGCCCGGGAGGCCCAGCCGAGGCCGCGGAGGGGGACUACGGGCUAGGCUGCGAAGGAGUGGCAAGGUCACGGGACUUGUAGUCGCGCGCAGGUUCCAGCCGGACUACAGCACCCACAAUGCACCAGCGAGCGCGCCGCCGAGGGACCGGGGCGUGCGCUUCCUGUCUUUCUGCGGCCGCUGGGGUCCCAAGCUGCGGGAAGUAUUCCGGGAAGUCUUCGAGGCUUGGUUUUCUCCAGUCUUGGUUUCGGCAGAGAACACUCAACUUUGGAAUGAACACUUCUUGGAUUAGUCAGAACCGGGCCAGAGUGGGGAGCAGAGCAGGCAGAAGGACCGAAGUACACUGCUGAGGGGAGCAGCAGGCGGCAGGAGAGGUCUGCGCGCCAUGUGGGACCCUCCUCUGGUGGCCGGGGAUCGAACCUGCGACGCAGAGGCCGCAGGGAGCUUCACAACCCAGCGCUCAACCGCUGCGCCGCCAGGGAGGCCCAGGGUCAUUGAAUCUUAAUAUGUGAAAUGUCUGGAUUAAAAUUGGAUCUUUAUGGUUCCGUGAGGAUCUAAAAUAAUUUUUCUCAUUACAUCUGGAUAUUGUUCUAAAUGAAGUCCCCCCCCCCAUAAUAAUGAGUACCAAGUAUAUCUGCAGUAUUAAACCUGGAAUAUCCUUGUAGUUUU